AGUGAACGCUGGCGGUAGGCCCAACACAUGCAAGUCGAACGGCAGCACAGGAGGGCUUGCCCUCUGGUGGCGAGUGGCGGACGGGUGAGGAAUACAUCGGAAUCUACUCUGUCGUGGGGGAUAACGUAGGGAAACUUACGCUAAUACCGCAUACGACCUACGGGUGAAAGCAGGGGAUCUUCGGACCUUGCGCGAUUGAAUGAGCCGAUGUCGGAUUAGCUAGUUGGCGGGGUAAAGGCCCACCAAGGCGACGAUCCGUAGCUGGUCUGAGAGGAUGAUCAGCCACACUGGAACUGAGACACGGUCCAGACUCCUACGGGAGGCAGCAGUGGGGAAUAUUGGACAAUGGGCGCAAGCCUGAUCCAGCCAUACCGCGUGGGUGAAGAAGGCCUUCGGGUUGUAAAGCCCUUUUGUUGGGAAAGAAAUCCAGCUGGCUAAUACCCGGUUGGGAUGACGGUACCCAAAGAAUAAGCACCGGCUAACUUCGUGCCAGCCGCCGCCGUAA
rnacentral:rRNA from 1 species